GCGGUCGUGGUGAAACUGGUAGACACGCAGCGUUGAGGUCGCUGUGGCUUGUAAAAAAAGCUUUGGAAGUUCAAGUCUUCUCGACCGCACCA
rnacentral:tRNA from 1 species